GUAGUUCUUUAUAGUAAUGCAAGAACGGACUAACACAAACACUUUCCAUGUGCCAGGCAUGUAAUAACCAUGCUCAUAUAUAUGCCCCCAUUCGAUCUAUUUGACCAUUCCUAUUUUACAGACAAGAAAAUGGAGGCAAAGAACAUUGGAGUCACUUCCUGGCUAUACACGCUGAGGUGAUAACCAAAACAAAGAAGAAAUAAGAGGAGGAGGAGAGCAAGAGAUAGAGGCAAGGAGCUGUACUGCAAAUCUACAAUAACUCAUGGAGGGAGGAAAUGUCUUAUAGAAGAGGCAUUAGAUUGAACAUCCCAUGGUGUUUUCUCCCCCUUGGUUUCUGGAAAACCAUAUACUUUCAUUUAUAAACUCUAUGCCCAGAUCCCAAAGUAGGAAUCAAGAGCUCCUUUGAGGACAUGCAGCCCUUCUCAGAAGUGACUCGCAUAACAGGAUGAGGUAAGAUGAAGGCGGCACUGCGGGUCCAACCCUGGCUGAGGAUCAGGGUCUGGCACCCUUUGAUUUCUCCAGGGAAGAUUCAGGUAGGAUAGGGGAGAAAGAGGGGGAUGAGGUGCUCCCUGCCACCUGGGAGACCCACUGCUUGGUCAAGC
rnacentral:lncRNA from 1 species